GCUGGCUCAUCUUAAAUGUAUUAGCUGGAUUUGUCUGGAUGACAGGUUUGACUUGGCGUAAUAAGUAUUUCGCUGAGGACAUCUCUUUUGAGGUGGCCAGUCUUCAGACAGCAGUCUGCUUUCCAACCUAUGUUUCUCUUUGGAGACAUGACUUUUUAUUAUUUGGCCUCAAAUCAGGUAGGACUACCCGCUGAACUUAA
rnacentral:misc_RNA from 1 species